ACUCAAAUGAAUAGACGGGGGCCCGCACAAGCGGAGGAACAUGUGGUUUAAUUCGAUGAUACGCGAGGAACCUUACCUGGGUUUGAACGUAGAACGACUGGCGCUGAAAGGUGUCUUCCCUUCGGGGCGGUCUACGAGGUGCUGCAUGGUUGUCGUCAGCUCGUGCCGUGAGGUGUCGGCUUAAGUGCCAUAACGAGCGCAACCCCUAUCGUUAGUUGCCAGCGGGUUAUGCCGGGGACUCUAACGAAACUGCCAGCGUAAGCUGUGAGGAAGGUGGGGAUGACGUCAAAUCAGCACGGCCCUUACAUCCAGGGCUACACACGUGUUACAAUGGCCAUUACAAAGGGCAGCUACACCGCGAGGUGAUGCUAAUCUCUAAAAAUGGUCUCAGUUCGGAUUGGAGUCUGCAACUCGACUCCAUGAAGCUGGAUUCGCUAGUAAUCGCGCAUCAGCCACGGCGCGGUGAAUACGUUCCCGGGCCUUGUACACACCGCCCGU
rnacentral:rRNA from 1 species